AUUGAACGCUGGCGGCAGGCCUAACACAUGCAAGUCGAGCGAGCGGCGGACGGGUGAGUAAUGUAUGGGGACUGCCCGAUAGAGGGGGAUAACUACUGGAAACGGUAGCUAAUACCGCAUACUAUCGGAUAACCCAUAUGGGUUUAGCUAGUGGGUGAGGUAAUGGCUCACCAAGGCGACGAUCCCUAGCUGGUCUGAGAGGAUGAUCAGCCACAUUGGGACGGAGAUACGGCCCAGGCCCGGACGGAGGCAGCAGUGGGGGAUAUUGCACAAUGCGUGAAAGCCUGAUGCAGCGACGCCGCGUGGGGGAUGCAGGCUUUCGGGUUGUAAACCUCUUUCGCUAUCGAACGGGUAGGUGGAGAAGAAGCGCCGGCUAACUACGUGCCAGCAGCCGCGGUAAUAC
rnacentral:rRNA from 1 species